rnacentral:siRNA from 1 species
AUAGUACACCUAUAAUAGAGCUAU